rnacentral:rRNA from 1 species
UACGUAGGUCCCGAGCGUUGUCCGGAUUUAUUGGGCGUAAAGCGAGCGCAGGUGGUUUAUUAAGUCUGGUGUAAAAGGCAGUGGCUCAACCAUUGUAUGCAUUGGAAACUGGUAGACUUGAGUGCAGGAGAGGAGAGUGGAAUUCCAUGUGUAGCGGUGAAAUGCGUAGAUAUAUGGAGGAACACCGGUGGCGAAAGCGGCUCCCUGGCCUGUAACUGACACUGAGGCUCGAAAGCGUGGGGAGCAAGCAGG